CUUCGAUCGGAAGAGACUUCUCAUCUCAUUUCUGGGGGCCUGUCCGGGAUUUCUCUGAAGUGAAUAGAAUCCAUGAAACUGCAAGUGGUUCUACAAAUGGAGCCCCAAAUGACCACCACUAGCACCUACUAUCGAGGACCCCUAGACUGACCUACCAACCUGUUCUAACACCACGACACUGAAGAAGACUCCCCUCCUGAGGAACCCUCAACUGCAGAUCCCCUUCUGUGCCCCAGUUCAGCAGGAAGUAGCUAGAAUGAUCAUUGCCCAACUUCUCAACAGCACUUGGGCUUUCCUGUUGAGAGGGGGUACUGAGGCACUAAGUGGCUAAGUUAGCUAGACUUCCUGGGUCAACAGGGACUUCCCUAAGGGGACAUUCCUCUAAGCCAAAAUGAGUCAUAGCUGCAAGCUAAGGGAUUGAAACUUCAACCAAUCAAAGGGGACUUUCUCCUAAGCAAAAAUGAG
rnacentral:lncRNA from 1 species